GACUACAAUAUUAGUAUUAGUUGCAAUAAAAUACUAAGCUGUAGAUUUAAAUGACGGUUCCUUCCAAAAUGGAAAUCGGGGACAGCAAUUCAUCAGAUGCGCCAGCGAACAAAAAACAAAAAAUUUCGGAUGUUUGGAAGCAUUUCCAACUAAAUGUUGAAUGGAUCGGAAGCAGAGUUGUACUUAUGCGACAAAAUUAAACAGAGGCUGUUUCCAAAUGAAUCCAGAGGUGCUACUAGAUUAACCACCUUGCUAGAUCCGAGAUUUAAAAAAGAAGGGUUUCAGUCAGGUCAAAAUGCGGCCCAAGCGUCUGUGUUGCUGGAAAACAAAUUGGUUGAAAUCAACAUAAUUGCAGCAUCGUCAUCGAAUGACAACAGGAAGGAACCGUCGGCAUCAAAAAGCGUUAAAAUUCCACAGAUUUAUGAGUUUUUGACAGAGAAGCUAUCCAGCAAAGUCAAAUCCAACAGAGCGGAUGCUAUCAUCACACUACGCGAAUACACUGAAAACUCCAAUGAGCCGCUAGAUGUAGACCCAUGAAAUACUGGAAACUAGAUCGACUGAAAUGAAGUCAAUGCAAAUCAUGGCAUGCAAAUAUUUGUGCAUUCCGGCAACUUCAACGGAGUCUGAGCGUAUGAUCAGCAAAGCUGGAGAAUUAGUCUCAGACUGACGAACAAGAGUGAAGGAAAAAAAUGUAGAUAUGUUGUUAUUGAUCAACAAAAAUCACGAAAUGUGCUAAUAUUGAUCUCUUUAAAACCACUGAGUCUCUCUUUGAUCUCCGUUUUAAUAUAAACUUAAGCUUUCAGCUUAUGUUGUAAAUGAAUUAAUCUUUUUUUUAAUAUGAAAAUAAAUAGGAGUUAUUUUGUUCUUGGAAAGACAGGUUUUUUGUAAUGUAAUUGAUUUUUUUUUCAACA